CAGCAGCCGCGGUAAUACGUAGAGUGCGAGCGUUAAUCGGAAUUACUGGGCGUAAAGCGUGCGCAGGCGGUGAUGUAAGACAGUUGUGAAAUCCUCGGGCUCAACCUGGGAACUGCAUCUGUGACUGCAUCGCUGGAGUGCGGCAGAGGGGGAUGGAAUUCCGCGUGUAGCAGUGAAAUGCGUAGAUAUGCGGAGGAACACCGAUGGCGAAGGCAAUCCCCUGGGCCUGCACUGACGCUCAUGCACGAAAGCGUGGGGAGCAAACAGGAUUAGAUACCCCUGUAGUCCCUGUCUCUUAUAC
rnacentral:rRNA from 1 species